rnacentral:SRP_RNA from 1 species
GCCAGGUGUGCUGGUGCAUGCCUGUAGUCCCAGCUUCUUGGAUGCUGAGGCAGGAGAAUCAUUUGAGCCCAGGAGUUUGAGGCUGCAGUAAGCUAUGAUCCUGCCACUGCGCUCCAGCCUGGGUAACAGAGUGAGACCCUGUCUCUA